GCUUCCUCAUCAACUGGAAGGACUCUCCUUCGGUCAUUGAGGAAGCUAAACCUCAUCAACCAGAAGGAACCCCUCAUGUAUGAGUGGUUUUGGGAGUCGCUCCCUCCCCCUUGACCGGAAGGAACCUCUUCCGGUCAAUGAGGUGUAGCUUCCUCAUUGACCGGAGGAGAGUCCUUCCGGUCGAUGAAGC
rnacentral:miRNA from 1 species